GUCACACUGCUUUUGGAAACAGGUGGUGAGGCUGGCGUCGCCAUGUUUUCUAAGGGACUUUCUCAGGAUCAGAUCCAAGAGUGGUCCUUUAGGGCUUUUUUUUUUUUUUUUUGAGACGUUGUCUCGCCCUGUCACCCAGGCUGGAGUGCAGUGGCGCGAUCUCGGCUCAGUGCAACUUCCGUCUCUCGGGUUCAAGCAAUUCUCCUGCCUCAGCCUCCAGGGUAACUGCGAUUACAGGCUCCCGCCACCACGCCAGGCUAAUUUUUGUAUUUUAAGUAGAGACGGGAUUUCACCAUAUUGGCCAGGCUGGUCUUGAACCCCUGACUUCCAGUGAUCCGCCAACCUCAGCCUCCCAAAGGGGCUUUUAAAUGCUGUCGCCCAUUCUAGAAUGCAGCGGCGUGAUCUUGGCUCACUGCAGCCUCGACUUCCCUGGCUCAAGUGAUCCUCCCACCUCAGCCUCCCGAGUUGCUGGGACCACAGGUGCCACACCGCGCCCGCUUAAUUUUUUUUUCUUUAUAUAUAUUUUUUUGUAGUGACGGGGUUUCGAACUCCAGGACUCAACGGAGCCUCCCAUCUCAGACUCUGGGUGAGAUUAUAGGCGUUAACCAUGACUCCCUACCCAGUAUAAACUCAAACACACCAGGCGCAGCAGCUCACGCCUGUAAUCCCAGCACUUUGGGAGGUGAAGGCAGGUGGAUCACCUGAAGUCAGGAGUUCGAGACCAGCCUGGCCAACAUGGCGAAAUCCCGUCUCUACUAACAAUAACAAAAAUUAGCUGGGCGUGGUGGCAGGCGCCUGUAAUACCAGAGAUUCAGGAGGCUGAGGCAGGAGAAUCGCUUGAACCCAGGAGGUGGAGGUUGCAGCCAGCCAAGAUCGUGCCAUUGCACUCCAGCUGGGGCAACAAGAGUGAAACUCUGUCUCAAAAAAACAAAAACAAAAGCAAAUAAAAUAUUGCUGGGCGCGGUGGCUCACACCUGUAAUCCCAGCAGUUUGGGAGGCCAAGGCGGGCGGAUCACUUGAGGUCAGGAGUUUGAAACCAGCCUGGCCAACAUGGUAAAAACCUUUUCUCUACUAAAAAUACAAAAAAAUUAGCCCAGCGUGGCA
rnacentral:lncRNA from 1 species